rnacentral:hammerhead_ribozyme from 1 species
ACCCAACUGAUGAGUCCCAAAUAGAACGAAACGCGCAUCCUGGAU